ACAAUCAGAACAACUAUCGUAAUACCAAACUUACCCUUAACUUAAAGUGUGUAGUUAUUGAUGUCUUAAAAAGAGUCUACUAUGGGCACAUUAUUCCACUGAUGGAACUGCCAGAUGGUUCCAUAUCCAGCCACGUUGGUAGCACAACAGGUUACUUCUCCUACAAUUCUCCACAGAGAUGAUGCAUUAUCUUACCACUGUGCUGAAAAGGACAGCUAUACUCAUGAUUGGAUGGCCAAUCAAUCGAGUAUGGCCUGACCUGGUGAACUGCAAGAUUGGCAAUAAAAUUAUCAUCUAGAUGAGCAUAAAUAAGCAACAUAAAAGGAACGACUGAACAAGAAGGAACGCGAUUAUUACAUGAUAUUUUUUUUUUUAUGUGCUGGGAAAUCCUUCUAUCGAAGCUCAAACUUUUGCUGGUUUUGAAGCUUUGCAAAUAAAUAUUUAUCUUCGCAACAUGACAGUUUUAGAAAUCAAAACCAAGACUUUGAUUCUAUGCAGCUCAAUUUGGAGUGAAACAUAUCAUAUCAACUCUAAAUGUCACACCCCACCUGGAAAAGAUAACCAAAAGUUAAGAAUGCUAAACUUUAAGAGGCAUUCUUAACUUUUCAAAUUUCAAUUCUAGCCCAUCCGUUGCCCCAUUCGAAAGGUCCUUGUUAACUGCGAAUCCUAAUCACAAACACCAUCCACCAUAGUUAUUCGUACAGCCUUGUGAUGAUCAGCAUGCAAAAAAUGAUAAAUUUGUAGACGAAAGAUUUCCCAAGAAACGACCUGUUUGUUUUUUUAUGAUUUUUCUAGCCAGUAAGAAGACUUAUUCUCAUUGCUUAAGAAGACCUGUGCUAAUCAAUAUGACAACCAUGCUACUUCCUAGAACCUGCCACUCAAUUACAUGCUCUUGAUUGAUGGGUAAUGGGGAAGACGGAUCUGAGGAUCAUUAAUCCUCCUCACCAAUCACAUGACUUCUUGAGCAUGAAAGAUCCAUGUAUCUAAGUAUCUAACCCUGAAAAUUAUAACAUCUAUAUAGAACAAUUGGCUGUAAAUAUUCAUAAUUGCGUUGAGAGAACUAUUGGAGGGCAGCAAAAAAACUAAGUUAUGGACACAAACCAGGAAAAAAAAAAUGGGAAUCACCUGCAGCAGUACCACCAGGAUUAUAAUCUAGACGAUCAGCCCUAAAGAUGCCCCAGGCCAAACAAAUCCUCUCCAACGCGCCAUAACCAUUUGAAGCAGCAGAAGUAUAGAAUUGCACAUCCUUGAAUAACUCAGGAAACCACACUUCCUCUUCCUAACCAAGAUAGCAGCCCUAUGCAAUUGAUCACCCUGCAUUUCUCCCUGAUUUAGAAAGCUAUCUGAUGAACGAAAACCAUGGAGAAACUGCUGAUCAGAACUGCCAACACCGGAAUCCAUUACAGGAAAGAAAAGAAAAGAAUAAACAUGUAGAAUGUGGCAAUGAGAUUGAGCAACUAGGGCUUCCUAGAAGGUGCUAGACUUAACAAACAUCUACGGGGAGGCAGAGCAGGAGUUUCAUAAGGAAUAAAAGAUUCUGAACCUGCUAAAGACUAUUGAGAUGACAACUGACUAGAUCAAUUAUUGCGGAUGAGAGUGGAGUCAACAAUCUUAUUAGUUGAAUAUUUAUUAACAAUAACUGUUAACUAACAAUUAAUACUCUAAAAGCAAAAAAAUUGGAAAUUACAAACAACAAAUACCUGAUGACCACACCUAACAGCGGUCUUCUUCCUUUCCUCAUUCAAUUUCC
rnacentral:lncRNA from 1 species